GAGGGUAUAGCUCAGUGGUAGAGUUCAUGCUUAACAUGCAUGAGGUCCUGGGUUCAACCCUCAGUACCUCCA
rfam:Camelus ferus unplaced genomic scaffold scaffold77802, whole genome shotgun sequence.